rnacentral:rRNA from 1 species
UACGAAGGGGGCUAGCGUUGUUCGGAAUUACUGGGCGUAAAGCGCACGUAGGCGGACAUUUAAGUCAGGGGUGAAAUCCCGGGGCUCAACCCCGGAACUGCCUUUGAUACUGGGUGUCUUGAGUGUGGUAGAGGUGAGUGGAAUUGCGAGUGUAGAGGGUGAAAAUUCGUAGAUAUUCGCAAGAACACCAGGUGGCGAAGGCGGCUCACUGGCCCGAUACUGACGCUGAGGCAACGAAAGCGUGGGGGAGCAAACAGG